rfam:Ictidomys tridecemlineatus contig085389, whole genome shotgun sequence.
GGUUAAGUGGGAGUAUUUUUAAGUUUAUAAAAAUUCAAAUUUAUGUGCUACCUUGUGCAUCCCUCCUAAGGUUAUUUGCUUGGUAGAAGAGGGCAACUUUGCAUGAUAGAGGAGGACCAUUCUUAGGUCAAAGGUAUACGAGUAGCUGGGCUUCCCUGCUAGAAUCUUCAAACUCUGAAGGUAUAAGUCUUCCUACCUUGCUUUUUUUAAUGUGGUGAUGAAAAUCGAACCCAGAGCCUCAAACGUACGAGGCAAGUGUUUUGCCCCCUAC